rnacentral:rRNA from 1 species
CAGUAGCCGCGGGAAUACGAAGGGUGCAAGCGUUACUCGGAAUUACUGGGCGUAAAGCGUGCGUAGGUGGUGGUUUAAGUCCGUUGUGAAAGCCCUGGGCUCAACCUGGGAAUUGCAGUGGAUACUGGGUCACUAGAGUGUGGUAGAGGAUAGUGGAAUCUCCGGUGUAGCUGUGAAAUGCGUAGAGAUCGGAAGGAACAUCUGUGGCGAAGGCGACUAUCUGGGCCAACACUGACACUGAGGCACGAAAGCGUGGGGAGCAAACAGGAUUAGAUACCCGCGUAGUCCCUGUCUCUUAUAC